UUUUAACAAGAAGUUUAUAUGGUCAACAAUGACAAAGAAAGAAGAAGAAAUAAAGUGUUCCAUAGGUAUAUUAUCCUUUACAUGAGGUAUAUAAGGUUGAAUCCGGAACCAUAUAUGAUGGCUCUUUAUAACAAUGAAUUUAUGAUAAUCUGAAUUGGUUAUAGAAAGGAGAAGAGCAUUAGUAACAUUCCAGGUCACACUCAAAGGAAUAUCCAAAUAGCAUCUAACUAACUUUUGUACAUUUGCAUAUAUGUGCCACCUCAAAUUAUUACAAGUUUCACAUGGAACAAAGAGAUUGGGACCCGUGAUUCUGUGGAAGUCUCACUCUCACUCUCAUACUGACUAGUGGCACUAGACAAAAGUAGAGAAAGAUUCAUUAUAUCUACAUUGGUGCAGAGAACAACUUCCCUUACGGCACUCUACACUCAAAAUCCAACCUUGACCUUUCAUGUCGAAAAGGUAUCUGUGUUGGGCUAAAAGUCAUGUACCAUCACCCUUUCUUCAUCUGCGCCAUCUCCACCUCAUGUAUUGAGAAGGAACAGUGAUGCUGGAAUUCGACGAAGGAGAUAAAGGAUUGGGGAUUUAGGGAUUUCACUUCCCCUCUCCC